rnacentral:rRNA from 1 species
AGGGUUCGAUUCUGGCUCAGGACGAACGCUGGCGGCGUGCUUCAUACAUGCAAGUCGAACGAGAAGCUCACUUCGGUGAGUGGAAAGUGGCGGACGGGUGAGUAAUGUGUAGAGAAUCUGCCCUAGAGUGGGGGAUAGCAGUUGGAAACGACUAUUAAUACCCCAUAUGCGCGUAGCUGAGAUGCUAUUCGUGAAAACUCCGGUGCUCUGGGAUGAGUCUGCAUCUGAUUAGCUAGUAGGCGGUGUAAUGGACCACCUAGGCUACGAUCAGUAGCUGGUUUGAGAGGAUGAUCAGCCACAAUGGGACUGAGACACGGCCCAUACUCCUACGGGAGGCAGCAGUAGGGAAUUUUGCGCAAUGGGGGAAACCCUGACGCAGCAACGCCGCGUGAAUGAAGAAGCCCUUCGGGGUGUAAAGUUCUGUCAGUGGGGACGAGACUUGACGGUACCCACAGAGGAAGCAUCGGCUAACUCCGUGCCAGCAGCCGC